rnacentral:rRNA from 1 species
UACGUAGGGGGGCAAGCGUUGUCCGGAAUCAUUGGGCGUAAAGAGCGUGUAGGCGGCCCCGGUAAGUCCGCUGUGAAAAGUCCAGGGCUCAACCCCUGGGGAUGCCGGUGGAUACUGUCGGGCUCGAGUCCGGAAGAGGAGUGUGGAAUUCCUGGUGUAGCGGUGAAAUGCGCAGAUAUCAGGAGGAACACCAAUGGCGAAGGCAGCACUCUGGGACGUGACUGACGCUGAGACGCGAAAAGCGUGGGGGAGCAAACAGG